rnacentral:rRNA from 1 species
GAUGAACGCUGGCGGCGUGCCUAAUACAUGCAAGUCGAGCGAACGGACGAGAAGCUUGCUUCUCUGAUGUUAGCGGCGGACGGGUGAGUAACACGUGGAUAACCUACCUAUAAGACUGGGAUAACCUCGGGAAACCGGAGCUAAUACCGGAUAAUAUUUUGAACCGCAUGGUUCAAAAGUGAAAGACGGUCUUGCUGUCCCUUAUAGAUGGAUCCGCGUUGCAUUAGCUAGUUGGUAAGGUAACGGCUUACCAAGGCAACGAUGCAUAGCCGACCUGAGAGGGUGAUCGGCCACACUGGAACUGAGACACGGUCCAGACUCCUACGGGAGGCAGCAGUAGGGAAUCUUCCGCAAUGGGCGAAAGCCUGACGGAGCAACGCCGCGUGAGUGAUGAAGGUCUUCGGAUCGUAAAGCUCUGUUAUUAGGGAAGAACAUAUGUGUAAGUAACUGUGGACAUCUUGACGGUACCUAAUCAGAAAGCCACGGCUAACUACGUG